rnacentral:rRNA from 1 species
CGCGCAGGCGGCCAGGUCAGUCGAAUGUGAAAGCCCCCGGCUCAACUGGGGAGGGUCAUUCGAUACUGCCUGGCUUGAAGAUAGGAGAGGGAAGCGGAAUUUCAGGUGUAAUGGUGAAAUGCGUAGAUAUCUGAAGGAACACCAGUGGCGAAGGCGGCUUUCUGGCCUAUUCUUGACGCUGAGGCGCGAAAGCUAGGGGAGCGAACG